rnacentral:lncRNA from 1 species
AUUGGUCAGCAGUGUGUCAGGUUGGAUGCUGUGGGCGCCUGGCCUCUGAAGGUCACUCGAGGCUCACUGUACAGCUGUCGCUUGCCAGGCAGCCCGAGAGAGUUCUGGCGAGGGCUGCGGGAAGGAAAGGGGGCGGCGUCCUUCACAGGGAGGGUGCAGCUGACCUCCCUCCCCUUGUGCAGACUGGAAAAGAAUGGCCCAGAUCCUCUGGACUCCUCAGAUGAGCGGAUUCAGAGAGAAGCUUUUGAGAGCGUGCUGGCGGAGACAUUUUUCACAAAAGAGCCCUUGCGGUGCUGGUGUCCGUGGCGUGCCUGGGUGGAAAAUGAGCUUAUAUAUGAAGAAGUCAGCGAGUGGACAAAGCCAGGCGCAAUGGAUAGCAAAGAUGUGGAAGUCUCCUCGAUUCAAGUUACAAGAAAACCGCAGCAUGGAGUCUGCUCUCAGCUGUUGGGGAAUUACCGAUGCCUUUGACUAAGUCAAGACUGACUUUUCCAGAAUAUCACCCAAGAGAUAGAGCCGUCCCUGUCCAAGUUUGUGCGCUAGCCCUUCAUGGAGGUCAGAGAGGAAGAAACAAAGGCAGCUGUGGCCUCGGCGGUCACAGUGUCAGAACGCACAAGCCCCAUAAAGAGGUUUCACGCAGGCCACCCAUCCCUUUUCAUUCUCCAGCAGAACAGGACAGAGAGCGUUCUGUUCUGCGGAAGGUCUUCCACUCUACAAGGCAAUCCCUCCAGCUGCUUUGCUGUAUUGUGCUGUCUCCUGUCACACUAUGAAUGCAGUGACCUCAGCCAGCAACAGGGAGAACCCCCCUGCCUCCCGAACAAAGGACCUCACGUGAAAUCCUGAGCUCAGAGCUUACAGAUAUGUGUGCGCUUUCACUUUACAUCGGCCGUGACUUCCAAACAACUUCAGGAAACUUUAGGAUCUCUGAGGUAUACUGGAGAUGACAGCAGCGUAGAAUGUUCAUUUGGAUUUAGAACAGAAAUGCUUAUUUUAUAUUUGGCUGCUCCCAAACUGUCCCCAGACUUCCUCUCCAGUGGUUACCCUCCACUGCCCUGGAUGUCCCACGUUUACACUCCACACUCACACCUCCACCUUAACAAAGUCCUCCACUGGGUCAAACCAUACAUCGCUUCGUCUCUGUAGUGAUGACUUCCUGUCCUCUGCUCUGUGGAUAAAGACCCCAGAUAAAGAUGCCUGUGUUGCUCAACUCUUGUAAAUACUCUUGAGACAUUUUGAAAGCAGAAGGAAAGGAGACAGACGGGGAAAAUAAAAGGGAUGGUCUGCUUGUGCGGAAACGUUUUGAGAAUGCCCUUCCCUAAGAGAGAACAGUAAAAGUGAGCAAUACUUCCUGAGCUGUGGGUUCAUAUGGCUGGACUGUGCUGUUUCUCACGGGAGAAGUUCUCGUCUCCCCUGCGUGUACAUCCCUGUUUGCCAGCCUGGCCUUCGGUGUGGUGAUAUCAUGGUGCACUCCCAGGAGGGAAGUGCUUGGUCAAGACUUCUGCUUGGGUUCGACUAUCAGUUCUGGUUUCCUUUAAGGCACAGGAUCUUCCCUUUAAGGCACAAACACCCCCUUGACACAAAGUAAGGGACAAGGGAACUUUAAACCAUUUGGAAACCCAAGCACAAUAGGCUGUAGGUUGUAAAAAGAAAUUACAAAGGUAAUUUUAUCCAGAAGAGGGAGCAGUUUAACUUCUGCAGGGUAAGAUUCAGAUUCACUUUUGUAACUGAACAGGGAAUUUUCUAAAUAUUUUGAAAAUGCCGAAACAUUUCCUGUUGGCAUUUCACAGAA